rnacentral:ncRNA from 2 species
UACAAUGCAAAAAAUAUCGGUUCUAGUGGAGAUCAGCCAUUAGAGGUAACGGGGAAAGUUCGGUGUAAAUCCGUCGCUGUCCCGCAACUGUGAUGAGACGUUUCAACUUCUCUUAGUCAGAAUGCCCGCCGGUUAAUUAAUCCACGU